CCUACGGGAGGCAGCAGUGGGGAAUAUUGGACAAUGGGCGAAAGCCUGAUCCAGCAACGCCGCGUGAGGGAUGACGGCCUUCGGGUUGUAAACCUCUUUCAGUACCGACGAAGCGCUCCUAGGAGUGGUGACGGUAGGUACAGAAGAAGGACCGGCCAACUACGUGCCAGCAGCCGCGGUAAU
rnacentral:rRNA from 1 species